rnacentral:piRNA from 1 species
CCCUCAUGAAUUCCUUGAUGCCUUCGUCC